UUUCUCUGACUAGCUUCCCCGGACACAGGCUGGCCACGUGUUAUGCCUUCAGUACCUGUGCACCAUCCAGGCAGAAGUCACCCUCAUGAAAAGAGAAUUUGCUUUUUUAAAAAAUGUGCUACUGACCUGGUGGGCACGAGAAAAUUACUGCCAAACUGCAACAAGAUAUUGGUUGAGCUUGGCUUUGAAUAUCAACAGCAAAGCCUAGAAAAUCAACCACAGAGGAUUGGCCUUGGAUUGCAAGAGAGAAGGAGUGAUAUCAACUGCCUCCUUGACCCAGUGACGGGAUGGAAUGUGCCGGCUGAGGGAGGGGUCAGUGGGCGGAGGGUGGCAUCUUGAGGGUUGGGGCAAAGAUUAGCUGGAACAGUUGACUUAGAGAGACAGGAGAGGAUGGGGGAACCUGGUGGAGGCCAGCUGUGCCAAGAGUGUGGUGAGCCUGAGCAGGGCCGCUUGCUGGCAUCGUAAGAGGAGCUCCCUGCCACCAGGUAAAUUCGCCUUGCGGCCACCAGGUGGCAGCCGGAGAUGGGAGCUCGAGGGCUGACAAAGGGGCCUGGCCCGGAGGCCACAGCUGAGCAAAAUGGCAGAUAGUCCAGAAGGCGCAUGGUAUGCAAAUCUGGGUCGCCUUAUUAACUUUCCUUUCCAAUUUUUAAAUAUAAAAAUAUAUGUCUUCAUUAAAAUAAGUAAACGAGCUCGACAUAAAGAAGAUAUAUUUAAAUACUGUGUAUGUUAUUUAUUUUUAAAUAAUCAAUUAUAUGCUGAUUUUCUAAAAGUCUUCAAAAGAUGUGCCAGGGUUAUUCAUUGGCUUUGUUUUCACUCUCAAAAAUUCAAAUAAAAAGAGAAAUAAAAAAUGAUGAGGAGCUGCUUUGUCAUCUUACAAAUGUCCUGGGCAGGAAUUCUGUACUAAAUGCCGUGGCCAGCAGCCAGUAGAGAAGGCAUCUUCCUCUCCCCACUCCUCAGUGGCGUGGUUCUGGUGGCUCAGACUCUUCAGUUUGUCCCAACUCCAUCACCUGCCUUCUGUCUUUCCCACCAUUUUUGUGGUUCUGGCCCCAUGCCUCCUGUCUUCAUUCUCUCUCUGAAAUCUCUCCUCUGCACCAAUGUUGCGGUGACCUGCUUCACCCAGAGAUUGUACCUUCCCAUUUCUCCCCCAUGCACCUCUAAACAGUCCCACUUUCACUCGGGAUCCAGUCCCCACUUCUCUCUCUCUUUUGUGUGUGUGUAUGUGUGUGUGUGUGAUGUAGUUUCAUUCUUGUUGCCUCAGCUGGAGUGCAAUGGUGUGAUCUUGGCUCACCACAACCUCCACCUCCCGGGUUCAGGCAAUUCUCCUGCCUCAGUCUCCUGAGUAGCUGGGAUUACAGGCAUGCACCACCAUGCCUGGCUAAUUUUUGUAUUUUUAGUAAAGAUGGGGUUUCUCCAUAUUGGUCAGGCUGGUCUUGAACUCCUGAUAUCAGGUGAUCCGCCUGCCUCAGCCUCCCAAAGUGCUGAGAUUAUAGGCGUGAGCCACAGCUCCUGGCCUACAGUCCCCACUUCUCAACAGUGCAGAUGUCCCUGUUUGCCAGUUAACCCCAAUUUUCCUUUCUGGGGUCAUCUUCCAGCAGACUCUCCCCAAAUGACGUUCCACUGAAAAAGAGUCUUUCCUCAACCAAACUCCAGUCAGGCUCCUCUGGGCUUUCUUUUCAACCCUGGCCAGUGAGGGCUCCAGACUCAGCACAUAUGACUCUCCUCACCUCCCCACACCGAGAGACUUGAGCGAACAUGGACAGAGUUUCCAGCAGCUCAAGGUCUCGCCUCUACCACACAGACCUCAGUCUCCUUUAAGUUCCUGCCUAAGAAAGCUCGAUGCUGCCAGGAGAAUGUACUGUUUGUUCUGGCCAAAACUUGGUGCUGGACCAAAGGGACCCUGGACUUGCUUUCAGAGCAGUUACUAUAGAAACCUGGAAUUGCAAAUCAUUUGGCUGUGCUGCGAGAUAGACAUCUUCUAUUACCCAGAACUGUCUCCUCGAGAACCCAGGAGCCGUCUAUUUAAAUAUAAACUCCAAGCCACAGUGGCCGCACAGAUCUGCUGAUGCCUCUGUGGACCUGCUGUAAAGUGACUGCCUCCUGCCUCCUGUCAUAAAGAAAUGAGAAAUUUGUUUCUGCUCCCAACGAGUGGCAGGAGCCAGUUAACAAACGCACAUGGUGCGCUCGCGCGUGUGAUCCCACUUUCCUGCGUUUUGUGAAUUUCCACUUCCCUGACUCUGCCCAAGCCCCUCCAUAUUCCUCCUCCUGCCUCCCUUUUAACCCCGCGUCCCCUCUGCACGCCUUGCCGGUGGGCUCAGUUCAUGCAGGGCGCUCUUGCCUACGGCGAUAGGCUGAGUGCAGUGUGUUUUCACUGCUUUUAACUAGCACAGGCUCCGUUUCUCGCUGACGCUGCGCAUACCACUUUCCUGUGGAUUUCCGGACGCUCCAGGGUCUUUCCGUUGCUUCUGCAGCUUUGCCUGAAACGUCCCAGCCCCACCCUCCACACCUUUUCUUCAGUGGCCGCACGGAUUUGCUGAUGCCUUUGUGGACACCGAGACAUGAGCCUCUCACACUGUGGUGCCUAAUUCCAUUUUAGCACAGGAGGAGGCUGAAUGUGUGCUGGCGUGAAUAAACCCGUGACGAGUGAAAGAAGUGAGACCGGGUCAUAUGUUAUGUUCGGAAAUGAUGGAGAGGCUGGCUUCUGCCUCUGAGCAGGAGCUCCCUGGCUACAGCCCCACCAUGGAAUGCGACUGGCAGGCUGUCUUGAAAUGUGAGUAGUUUAACGGGUUAUCCUGGGAGCUAUUUCACCUCUUUCUGGUGGGGUAGGACAUCUUUGCCCUCCACUUCCUUCCUCUCCCCUUCCUUCCUCUCUCCCUUCUUCCUUCCUUCCUUCCUCUUUUCCUUCUUUCCCUCUUUUCUUGCCCCCGACGUCUCUUCCAUUUAUUGUAAAUUAUUUAUUUAUCUUUCAGAGCACCUACAUCUGUCUACCUCUGACAGGCACUUGGCUUUCUAUCUGUCAUCUAUCAAUUUAGCAACAAUCAUUUCAGAGAUGCAAAAACUGGGUGCAGGGGCAGGGGGGUCCCUGAUGACUCUCAUACAGUUCAGAACCGAACGAUCCAGGCGUCAAGCCCUAACUGGUUGGGCACCAAGGCCUAAAACCCAUGUUCCCUACCACGUGCUGCUGGGAUCCAGGCCACCAGGCUAGGACUGCCCACCCUGGACAGUCUGUGCACAGGGAGAGAGAUGGGGAUGCUCGUGCCACUGUGGCAGAUCCUACUCUGAACGUGAUGGUGUCUGAUUGCUGUUUCUCCUGUUUCAUCACUCUUGACUCAGUGAUCCAGUGACUAUGUGAGACAGCUGGGAAGAAAGAAGGAUAAACAGGGCAGCAGGUGUCCGGUUCCUCCUUACUGAGCUCCUGCCUAUCUGGGCAUGCUCAGACAGGGUGUCCACCUAUGAAUAAGCCACUUCGGCAAACUGGAUGAGAAAAUCAAGAUUCCACUUUGUUCCCGCAGGGAUCAUGUGUGUUGGGAGGCUGCUCAUGCAUGACCUGGGCUCUGUCCCAGGUGAACAUAUCCACAACAUGCAUGCUGUUAUGCUCGGCAUUCAGACGUGGAAGCAGAAGUCGGUGAGGUUCAGUAAUGCGUCCAACAUUGCAAGUCCUACAAGCUCCGUCUGGCUCCACAGCCUCUGGGGUCGCUGUGCUCUGCGGUCCUAAAAUCAGCAGGCGUCCAGGACGCUCCCCUUCCCGGGACAGGAGCUGCAUCCCUGCCUUUACCUUCACCCAGGUCUCCACCCUGGAAUGCCUGACUCGCCUUUUCAUAUUCAUAACGGCUACAACGUAUGGGUUAUGAUGUGCCACAUACUUAUGUCUGUCAUAGAAACCCUGAAACUAUGUAGAUCUUACUUAAUCUCCACAGGAAUACUGAGAGGGUGGUGAUCUAUCCCGUGUGUGUGUGUGUGUGUGUGUGUGUGUGUGUGUGUGUGUGUGAAAAAGUAGGUUCAGAGAGUUUAAAUUCUUGGCUGAAGCCAGCUGGUGGUAGCUGUCAGCAGAGCUGGGCUCCAGUGCAAACUCUCCUGACUCCAAAAGCCGCUUCCUUCCUCCUCCCCUUCCUUCCUCUCUCCCUUCUUCCUUCCUUCCUCUUUUCUUUCUCUCUUUUCUUGCCCCCGACGUCUCUUCCAUUUAUUGUAAGUUGUUUAUUUCUCUUUCAGAGCACCUACAUCUGUGUACCUCUGGUGAAAACGCCGCGUGGUGGCAUUCUCUCUCCUCUGCUCAUUACAACUCCACUGUUCAGCUAAAGGCGUCUCUGGUCAUCCCGAGAGGUGGUGCCGGCCGCUACUCCUGAAGAAAUCCACUGGACUCGAAGCCACAUGAAGAAGUAUUAGGCCACUUUUUGUGUUUCUGAUACUCUCUAGGGGCCAUGCCUGGAUCUUCAUCAUAAACACCCAGUAAAAAUGGAGUUGAUUAACAAAGACAUUGAGUAUAUGAUGUAAUACAGCUGAGCUGUAAUGAUACUCAGCAUGUGGGCUGAUGUAGAGAAGACAUCACCAGACCCACCUCAGCUGUCACCCAGUGACUUUGGGGGCCACAACUAGAGGUUGGGUUACUGUUUUCAAAGCCUGUCGUCUCUGCUCAAGACUAUAAUUCCUUUAAGGAUUUUUCCUAAAUGAAGCUAUUCUUUCUUCAAGAGCUAGGCAUACACCAGUGCAUGCACACACACCCACACACCCCUCCAGUUGCUGCAUACAGUGUAAAUGUUAGGAUAAAGAGAAGUGCCACUUGCCAUGUAGAACGUGAACAUCCUAUUUCUGGAAGGGCUGUCCCAGAAGCUGAGGUAGCAGAGGAUGUAGAUGGCUCCCACGAGCAGGUUGAACAGCCUCCAGUGGCAGGUGCUGUCGAUGACGUCACUCUGCUGGGCGACGAGCCAGAAUGUCAUCACCAGCCAGUGGGCACCUGCACAGAGGCCGGGUGCGGAUGUCACGAUCCACGCAGGGAGAUGGGGGAGGGGCAAGGGCACAGAUAGCAGGGACUGGAAGCCCUCCUCUCCCACCACAUUUGACUCAGCAUCCAGGAAGGGGCAAGGGCACAGAUAGCAGGGACUGGAAGCCCUCCUCUCCCACCACAUUUGACUCAGCAUCCAGGAAGGGGCAAGGGCACAGAUAGCAGGGACUGGAAGCCCUCCUCUCCCACCACAUUUGACUCAGCAUCCAGGAAGGGGCAAGGGCACAGAUAGCAGGGACUGGAAGCCCUCCUCUCCCACCACAUUUGACUCAGCAUCCAGGAAGAGCCAUCAGAAGACCCAGAAGAGAUGUGAGGGGCACAGAAAACCAGCACAGUUUAGCUGUGCAUAUAUUCUCCUGUUGUAUCCACGUAAAGUGCAUCUGAUCUAAUUUGAAGAUGAGAAAACAGACUAGCUUCAAUAACACUUGCCAAAUAUUGUAUACGUGUGCCUGUUUUGUUCCAGAAUGUGUUUAAGGGGGCAAUUAUAAAACUGCCAAUUAUUUUUAAAUUGUUACGAGAGCUAGAAACCUCCAAACCCAAAGCGGAGAACUCUCAGGUGCAGCUGCAACUUUUUAUUCCCAUGUUUUAAGAUGAAUAAAGCAUUCUGGAUUUCAAGCUGAGUUUUUAAAAAAAAGAAUAACAAAAUAGGUAAUCUCUCUUCGGGAGCACAGUUUGUUUUUUUUUCUUUUUCAAAAAAAAAUUCUUUCCUGCCAAUAACUGUAUUUAAUGUUUGCUCCAGGCCCAAGGGCCAAAUAGUUCUUAAUGUGUCCAAUUCUUUUCAAACAAGAGUGCCCUGUUCCUUCUUGUAUAUUCACUGAUGACCAGAGAUGACAGCUCCCCUUGGCAGGGACACACAGGCCCUAUUCAGGGAGUCUCCAUAGCCAGAGAGACUCUGUCAUUGCCAUUCAGAUUGUGUGUGCCUAGACUGAGGGAGGAGGGAGCGCUUGGGUUUAGUGGGGCUGUGCUAUUUGCAACAGAGGAGAUGUUCGAGAUUCAGCAUUCCAAGGGAAUGGUGCAUUUUGGGAGGCUAUUUGCAGUAUCACAUAUACACUGCAUGUUUUGGGAUCAGUAUCACAUAUAUACUGAUCAAGUGAGGCAGGUGGCACCCUGUACCUCCCUUCUGUUUGGGUGACAGUUUUUCUAUAUAAAAUAUUUCAGCCUAUAACACAGAACAGUCUCUUGAGUAGUUCUCUGCUCCAGAGUUAGCUGGGAGUUUUGAGGGCUGGGAUGUCUGAGCUAUGGCAGGGUAUUUCCCAAGACAGCCAGGAUGCGUUCUUUCCUGCUCUGGAUAUGUAUUUAUCUGGAGCAGCAGUCUAGUCCCCCAUGCUCUUGAAUCUGGGCUGGCUCUGCUUGGUUUGACCAACAGAAUACAGCGGAAGCAGUGCCGAGCCAGUUCUAAGCCUGUUUUUACAGAAGACUGGCGGUUUCCAGUUCCUCUCCACUGGAAUUCUCAGCUGCUAAUUCCCAUCAAGGCUCCCUAUGAAUCUGAACACCUGGUACCCCAUUGCCAUCUCUGAGGCCCCCCGAGCAAGGUCCAUUCAGCAGAGAGCCCAGUCCGCCCUCAGGCCUGGGAUUGAGGAUCCUAACUGGUUAUUCUUGAGGCAUUCCUUUCCAGGUUGGUGUGUUACGCAGCAGCAGAUGACGAGAUCAUUAGCUCAGCUCACCUGCAACCGCAAAAACCCAAACGUGGUAGGCUUUGUAGAACAGAACCAGGCUCAGCACGCGUGUUCCCAGCAUGCCCAUCCUCCAGAGCUGCUGGCAGAAGAGGGCGGCCCAUGGCAUGGCCGGGUGGCCUGGCUUCAUGAAGCCCAUGAAAUGAGUGUAGGACACCAGUGCCCAGGAGAGUGAGGACCAGGAGAACAGCGCACUCACCCCUGCAAGGGAAGCAGAAAGACAUGGUAUGCUCUGAAGGUUCAGAAAGCAUCGCACCAUGUGAAGACUCACUCAUGGCAUUUCUUUAAUGGGACAUGUAGCCUCUUGUUAAAGCCUGGCCGCACAGAGGGUAUCACUAACCCAGCACCUUGACCAAUAGGUAACAUAACUGUUUCCAAAUACACGUGUUUAUAUUCAGGAAGAAACGGGGAUAUGUAGGAAGUAUUUGCACUGCACAGUGUAGCAAAUGCUCUUCCCAGCAAAUGAGCUGGACUCUUUCUUUCUAUGCCCGUUAAGAAAAAACGUUCCAAAUCCUGAUCUUCUGAGGCCUCUGUAUAUAACAAAGCUGAUCCUACAGGGCUCUGCACAUGAUUCCACCCCAAAUGUACUUUGCUGUUCGAAUGAAAACAUCGAAGGGUGUCAGGCCAUUUGAUAAAGAUGGCUAGAAGAACAGCACUGUCAUCUAUGUCAAGUAUUUAAUUUAUGCAUAUACAAUUGUGGACACUUGGCAAACAGGAAGGGAGAGACGAAGAUACGGAAGCGGGGAGGUUGGGAGGGGAGGAAGGGGAGGGAAGAGAAGGGGAUGGCAGGAGGGAGCGGGGAGAGAAAAAAGAGGCAACUGAGAGAACAGGCAGAGAAUGUGAAUGUCCUGAAAUAGUGGGAGCUGGAAACAAACGUUGCUGGGGCCUGAGUUGUUCUGUUUCCGCAUGCUCUGAGGGUGUAAGCUUCUGGCUUUGUUAAGAAUUACUUUUUUUUUUUUUGAGACAGGGCCUCAUUCUCUGUCACCUGCACUGGAGUACAGUGGUGCAAUCACACCUCACUGCAGCCUCAAACUCCUGGCCUCAAGUGAUGCUCCCACCUCAGCCUCUUGAAUAGCUGAGGCUACAACUGCAUGCCACCAUGCCUGGCUAACUUUUGUAUUUCUUUGUAGAGAUGGGUUUUCACUAUGCUGGUCUUGAGCUCCUGGGCUCAAGCAGUCCAUCCACCUCGGCUUCCCCAAGUGCUGGGACUGCAGGUGUGAGGCAUUGUGUCCUGCCAAGAAUAACUCUAAUGAUUAAAAAUACAAGAAAAACCUGUGCGCUGAGUUUACUGAGAGGCAGCCUUUCCAAGGUAUUUUCAGGAUAAUUUUGAUUAUGGGCAAUUUCUAUCUUAUGAACUGACUUUCGAACAUAACCCUUAGGAAAGAAGGAAGCCAACUCUCUGUAAGCCCAGUGCAGCAGCAAAAGCCAAUUUGAUGCAUCAUUGUGGGCCAGUGAGCUCCAGGUGUCCUGGUUCUCCUAAGCAGAGGAAAUCUCGAGGGGAGGGUUUUGCUCAACAGGCUCGCGUUCCCCUCCCCCUUAGGCAGUCAGGCAGUCUGUGCUCCAUGGUGAAAGCUGCUCACCUGGCACAAUAUCUGUGAAGUCUGAGGCUAGAAACACGUAUGUCUGAAGCAGCAGGUGGGGCCCGGUCUGCAGCAAGGCCUCCAAGAGUCGAAGGGCCGACAGGUCGGCCUCCUGCAGCUGCAGCUGGCCUCGAUGGGGAGCCUCCUGUUCCUUCUGCAGAGCAGUCAGUGCAGCAUCCCAGUGCCUAGGGAACAGCGGAGGGCACAUGACAUGGAGCCAGACUGUGGCGAGCUUCAAUGGGACCUCCUUUCAUUCAGAGACAUACAACAGCCUAAGCAAUAUCCUAUGCCCUUACUAGUUCCCAAGAGCUACAAGUUAGGCUGCUGCCAGGCUCUGACUGCAAGCAGAAGACGUCAGUUCUAUCUCCUUGAAUCCAGGUUCUCAACGUAGGAAGAAUGAGCCCUCACCUGCCGAGAUGGGCUGUGGAUCACGGAUAAGCCCACUGCGCCCCAGAACCACCCCUGGCUACUUCUCUACAGAAAAAAACUGCCCCUGGCGUCCAAAUGACUUUUUCCUGGUAUGAGUCUUGAAGCCAAUGUCGCCAGGCUGGCUUCACUGUCUAGCCUGUGGUUCACUGAAGCUAUGCCACCUUCCUGUUUGAAGGUGAUAGUGUGUAGGUCGAAGUGCCUUAAGCAACUUGCUUUACAUAGAGCUAAAGUCUCAACCAACAAAACAGCGAGACAGGACUUCAACUGAAGGCAAGAGAAAGCUUUUCGUAAGGUCCCAGCUGCACAGAGAAAGCCCCUGAGGUUGAAGAUGCUCAACAGUGUGUAGGCCGGACCUGGGGUGCUACUAUCAGAGCAGGGGUUUGACACGGCGGCUUUGAACCUCUUCCCAAUGCUGAACUUUGAUGACCUUGAGGACAGAAUCCACAGGGACAGAAGAAUCCUUCUACUGCACUUGUGCAAUUGUGCACCAGAGGAAGAGGCAGCUGUUCUUACCGCUU